AAGCCGGAAUUGCUAGUAAUGGCAGGUCAGCAUACUGCCGUGAAUACGUUCCCGGGCCUUGUACACACCGCCCGUCACACCAUGAGAGUUGGGAAUACCCGAAGCCUGUGAGCCGACCGAAAGGGGGCAGCAGUCGAAGGUAGAAUCAAUGAUUGGGGUGAAGUCGUAACAAGGUAGC
rnacentral:rRNA from 1 species